rnacentral:lncRNA from 1 species
CUAAAAAUAUAUGGAUUAAUACAUUUUAUCACUUUUGGGAAAAUCUCCACAACAUUGAUUCUGCCCUAUUUUAUCCCUUUUAAUCUUCCAGAAAUCCAGAAGUAUGUUAGAUGCUCUGAUUGUAGCAUCAAUGCCUCUUAUCCUCUUAGCUUGGCAUUCUUUGUCUUGUGGUCUCUUUAGGCUUCUUUCUUUAUAGUUGUCUUCCAAUUCACUAAUUCUCUCUUCUAUGUCUAACUGGUUGUUAACUCUGUCUAUUGGAUUCUCAAUAUUGAUUAUUUAUUUUUUGCUAUUAUUGUUUUAGUAGCAGAAAUUAUAUUUUGUUCUCCUUCUAUAAAUCAUUAUCUAUGGAGAAGCAGAACAAAGCACUCUUACCACCAAGUUUUUUAAAAAAAGUUGGGUUCUUUGUUCAGUUGGUUGGCUUUGUUUUUUUGUUUUUCGUAUGCUUGACAUGAAAAUGCUAACAAUUUUCUUCUUUUCCCAAGACUUUGGUCACAAAAUAGAAUAAAAGCUUGGUCUACACAUCCUUCCGCAAGUUG